CUAUACUCUGGUGUUAAUACCUGCCUAGUCCUAUGACCCUAUACAAUAUAAACUUGCAGCUUUUUGAUCCUUGUUUACUAGAGUGCACACGCAUAUCACAAAAUGGCAGGAUAAGAUACAAGAACUAGGGUUCAUUUAUAACAUAGGACAGAAAUAUGGCUUUACUAUUAAACAGAUGCAGGUGAUAUGGUUUAAGGUUUCUAAGGACUUAACCAGUACGACGGUAGGCUGUGCAUGCCCUAGACGUAAUGCUGAUACAUGUCCCUUUGCUGAAAUCACUGAUAGAGUUCUAACUAAGAAUAUGAAUGAAGGGAGAUAUCGGAUGGCUCACAGGAGAGGACCUACUGUGUUUAAUGUGUUGCAAAACAAAAAGAUCGUAUCCCAGAAAAUAGAAGGACCGGGUUGUAUUCUAUUCCCCUUUAUAAUAAUGAUGAAGAUGUGAAACAGUGCUAUAUUGGGAGUACCUCUAGGAGCCUGGAAAAAAGGAUACGGGAGCACAGAGCAGAUAUAGCUGCGGGUAGAUUAAAUACUGCCUUGUCAACAAGGGCCUAUGAACAAGAUUUAGUAAUAAACUGGGUACUCUAAUAAGACAUGUCAAUGGCUCUAGAGGCCUUACUACCUUUGAAGCUAUUGAUUUAGAAAGAAUGGCA
rnacentral:lncRNA from 1 species